rnacentral:rRNA from 1 species
UACGGGGGGGGCAAGCGUUGUUCGGAAUUACUGGGCGUAAAGGGCUCGUAGGCGGCCAACUAAGUCAGACGUGAGAUCCCUCGGCUUAACCGGGGAACGGCGUCUGAUACUGGAUGGCUUGAGUUCGGGAGAGGGAUGCGGAAUUCCAGGUGUAGCGGUGAAAUGCGUAGAUAUCUGGAGGAACACCGGUGGCGAAGGCGGCAUCCUGGACCGAGACUGACACUGAGGAGCGAAAGCCAGGGGAGCAAACGGG